rnacentral:rRNA from 1 species
AGUGAACGCUGGCGGUAGGCCUAACACAUGCAAGUCGAACGGCAGCACAGUAAGAGCUUGCUCUUACGGGUGGCGAGUGGCGGACGGGUGAGGAAUACAUCGGAAUCUACUUUUUCGUGGGGGAUAACGUAGGGAAACUUACGCUAAUACCGCAUACGACCUACCGGUGAAAGCAGGGGAUCUUCUGACCUUGCGCGAUUGAAUUAGCCGAUGUCGGAUUAGCUGGUUGGCGGGGUAAAGGCCCACCAAGGCGACGAUCCGUAGCUGGUCUGGGAGGAUGAUCGGCCACACUGGAACUGAGACACGGUCCAGACUCCUACGGGAGGCAGCAGUGGGGAAUAUUGGGCAAUGGUCGCAAGCCUGAUCCAGCCAUACCGCGUGGGUGAAGAAGGCCUUCGGGUUGUAAAGCCCUUUUGUUGGGAAAGAAAAGCAGCAGGUUAAUACCCCGCUGUUCUGACGGUACCCAAAGAAUAAGCACCGGCUAACUUCGUG